rnacentral:rRNA from 1 species
UACGGAGGGUGCAAGCGUUAAUCGGAAUUACUGGGCGUAAAGCGCGCGUAGGCGGCUUUUUAAGUCGGAUGUGAAAGCCCCGGGCUCAACCUGGGAACUGCACCCGAUACUGGAAGGCUAGAGUGCGAGAGAGGGAGGUAGAAUUCCAUGUGUAGCGGUGAAAUGCGUAGAUAUAUGGAGGAAUACCAGUGGCGAAGGCGGCCUCCUGGCUCGACACUGACGCUGAGGUGCGAAAGCGUGGGGAGCAAACAGG